rnacentral:rRNA from 1 species
UGGGGAAUUUUGGACAAUGGGCGAAAGCCUGAUCCAGCAAUGCCGCGUGUGUGAAGAAGGCCUUCGGGUUGUAAAGCACUUUUGUCCGGAAAGAAAUCCUUGGCUCUAAUACAGUCGGGGGAUGACGGUACCGGAAGAAUAAGCACCGGCUAACUACGUGCCAGCAGCCGCGGUAAUACGUAGGGUGCAAGCGUUAAUCGGAAUUACUGGGCGUAAAGCGUGCGCAGGCGGUUUGCUAAGACCGAUGUGAAAUCCCCGGGCUCAACCUGGGAACUGCAUUGGUGACUGGCAGGCUAGAGUAUGGCAGAGGGGGGUAGAAUUCCACGUGUAGCAGUGAAAUGCGUAGAGAUGUGGAGGAAUACCGAUGGCGAAGGCAGCCCCCUGGGCCAAUACUGACGCUCAUGCACGAAAGCGUGGGGAGCAAAACAGGAUUAGAUACCCUGGUAGUCCACGCCCUAAACGAUGUCAACUAGUUGUGGGGAUUCAUUCUUAGUAACGUAGCUAACGCGUGAAGUUGACCGCCUGGGGAGUACGGUCGCAAGAUUAAAACUCAAAUGAAUUGACGGGGUCAUAGCUGUUUCC